rnacentral:lncRNA from 1 species
UCACUCAAAUAUAUUUCAAUUCAAACUUAAUUUGAUUCUAGUUAAAAUCCUAUUGAACUUCAUUCAAACUUUAGAUCCAAACUAAUUAAAUCUGAAAUCCUAAUAAAAUCCUAAACCUUAAAUCAAACCCUAAAUAAAUCUUAAAUCAAAUCUCAACCAAAACUUAAAUCAAAUCCCAACCAAAUCCUAAACUAAACCCUCAACCCUAAAUCAAACCCUAACCAAACCUUAAUCCAAAUCCUAAAUCCUAAACCAAACCCUAAUCCUAAAUCUUAAACUAAAUCCUAACCAAAUUGUAAAUCCUAAAUGAAACUCUAAUCCAAAUCUUAAAUCAAAUCCUAAUUCCUAAACUAAAUCCUAAUCCAAAUCCUAAAUCAAACCUUAAUCCCUAAACCAAAUCCUUAUUCAAACCCUAAAUCCUAAACCAAACCCUAAUCAAACCUUAAACCAAAUCCUAAACCCUAAAUCAAAUCCUAAACCAAAUCCUAGUAAUUCCUACAACAAAUUUAAACCUUAAUAACUAAUGAACAAACCAUUGAUCUUAACUCAAAUUUUGCACACUUCUUAAAAACUAAGUUACAAACAAGCAUAAAAAACUUGAAAAGGAUCGAAGUUACCAAAUUGA